CAGGGAGCAGAUUUGACAAAUACUAAAAAUUAUAGACCAAUUUCAUUAUUAAAUUCGGAUUACAAAAUCUUUACAGGCAUAUUAGCAAAUAGAUUAACAAAAUAUUGAAUAGAAUAAUUAAUGAUGACUAGGCUGGCUUCCUGGCGGGAAGAGAACUAUACAGUGGUACCUCGGGUUACAUACACUUCAGGUUACAUACACUUCAGGUUACAUACGCUUCAUGUUACAGACUCCACUAACCCAGAAAUAGUGCUUCAGGUUAAGAACUUUGCUUCAGGAUGAGAACAGAAAUCGUGCUCCGGCGGCGCAGCAGCAGCAGGAGGCCCCAUUAGCUAAAGUGGUGCUUCAGGUUAAGAACAGUUUCAGGUUAAGAACGGACCUCCGGAACGAAUUAAGUUCUUAACCCGAGGUACCACUGUAUAAUAAUACAAGAACAGUAAUUGACUUAUUAGAAUAUUUGGAGAUGAAACGAAAUAAAAGACCUGGCCAAAUUUAUCUGGCAAAGUAAAAAACCGAGAAUAAAAUUUGAACUAUUAAGGGAGAUUAGAGACAGAGAAGGAUUUGCAGUCCCAGAUCUCAAAUUAUACUACAAAGCAACAAGCUUUGUAUGGCUCAAAGAAUGGAUACAAAGCAACAAGCUUUGUAUGGCUCAAAGAAUGGAUAACUAUAAAAAACACCAAAAUACUGGACAUAGAGGGGUGGGGUAACCUCUUUGGAUGGCAUGGUUAACUUGGGACAUAACAAAGUGAAGAACCACAGAGGGUUCCUUAACCAUAUAGUAAGGAAAGCCUUAUAAACAGUAUGGGAAUGAUAUAAAACACUAUUGGAUCCCAAAACUCCAUGGUGGCUUUCACCAGUCGAGGCAAUUGCCGCCCACAAGGAAAACAUGGGGAACAAUUGUUUGACAUUGCCUCUCUCCACCUGGCCCAGGGAGGGGGCCUGACAGGCUUCAUAAGGGCUGUUGCUGCUCAGCGGAAAGUACUGCUGUUAUGUACUGAAGUUCUCACCCUGGGCCAGCAGGGGGAUACUGUAGAUAGUUUUCACUCAGGUCCACAUAUACAAAUAAGGGAUUGAAAGUGAUGUUCAGUGAUUGGAUAGUUACAGAAAAUGGUUACUGUUGCUUUGUAGUUGAGCUCUAUAUAAGCAGGCUGG